rnacentral:rRNA from 1 species
UACGUAGGGGGCAAGCGUUGUCCGGAUUUAUUGGGCGUAAAGAGCGUGUAGGCGGUUUGGUAGGUCCGCUGUGAAAACUCGAGCUCAACCUCGAGACGCCGGUGGAAACCAUCAGACUAGAGUCCGGAAGAGGAGAGUGGAAUUCCUGAGUGUAGCGGUGAAAUGCGCAGAUAUCAGGAAGAACACCCGUGGCUAAGGCGGCUCUCUAGUACGGUACUGACGCUGAGACGCGAAAGCGUGGGGAGCGAACAGG